GAUGAACGCUGGCGGCGUGCCUAAUACAUGCAAGUCGAGCGAACAGACGAGGAGCUUGCUCCUCUGACGUUAGCGGCGGACGGGUGAGUAACACGUGGAUAACCUACCUAUAAGACUGGGAUAACUUCGGGAAACCGGAGCUAAUACCGGAUAAUAUAUUGAACCGCAUGGUUCAAUAGUGAAAGACGGUUUUGCUGUCACUUAUAGAUGGAUCCGCGCCGCAUUAGCUAGUUGGUAAGGUAACGGCUUACCAAGGCAACGAUGCGUAGCCGACCUGAGAGGGUGGUAGGCCACACGGGAACUGGGACACGGUCAAGACUCCUACGAGAGGCAGCAGUAGGCAAUCUUCCGCAAUGGGCGAAAGCUUGACGGAGCAACGCCGCGUGAGUGAUGAAGGUCUUCGGAUCGUAAAACUCUGUUAUUAGGGAAGAACAAAUGUGUAAGUAACUAUGCACGUCUUGACGGUACCUAAUCAGAAAGCCACGGCUAACUACGUG
rnacentral:rRNA from 1 species